GUUGUUUAUCUCUCUUUAUUGUGUUGUUCACUCUGCUCUGCAUGCAUAAUAUUUUCCUGUAGCUACAGUUACAUUGAUCUGGCCCACUUUAUGGAAAUGGUGAUGGUUCUCUGAAUUGAUAGAAUUUACAGGAGAUAUCUCCGCUUUCUACUUUGAAUUUUAUCAAUCAUUAGAUGUCCUAACUGCUUCAUUCUUCAGGAAAUGUAUAAAAAUAAUCACCGCAGAAAGAUUGUGGUGGCUUGAUACAGGCUGUUCUUCCCUUAAGGGGUAAAAUUUUGAACAUUGAAAGAAGGGAUGAAGUAGCAAUGUACAAGAAUGAAGAGAUUCAAAAUCUUAUUCUAGCUCUGGGACUUGGAGUAAAGGGAGAAGAUUGGUGUAACAGCAAAAUUGGUGUAACAAAGGGUUUGGUUUUGGAGUUAUGCAGCAAGGUUUAAUUGGUUAGAAGAGGCAAGGAAAGGGUGUUUUAAAUUUAUUCAAAGUAAAACCUGCCCUUCUUUGUUUCAUCUAGCCCUCGUCUUUUAUCAUUAUGCUAUGUAUAUCGUCCUUAAUAUUCUCUUGCACUUGUCAGAGAUAUGGCGAAGUAACCAAGCAAAGACUUGAUCUUGCUGUUCUGGUCUUCUUUCAACAUUUUAGGAAGUCUUAUGUGGGAGUUCAAGCAAUGCAUUCUUCUAAGGUAAACCAAUUUAAAGUUUGACCUUCCAUUUGGAAAGUGGGAGAAGAAGCAAGCAUCACAAGCUCCAUAGUUGGAGACAAAAAAGAACAAUGGGGUUCCUACUUUAGCUUGGUGAUUCAUCUUAGAGCGAUUGCGAUGUCGAAGUUCUCUCUCUCUACCGAUUUCGAAGCUCCACCGCCGCUAGCAUCGUCUACUAAGACCGAGAGGAUUGAAGGCCAUGGGAAGCAGCAUGGAGAGCGAUUCAGAAUGACGGUGAAGGAUGGAUGGGGCUUUCCUUUAGAUUUUUAUUUCUCUUCUUUUUUCCUUCUUUUUUUAUUUCUUUCUUUUUUCCCUCUAAUUUGAUUGGGGGUUGGGUGUUUUGGUUCGCUUUCUUAUUUUUUGUGUUAAAUGGGGGAGUGGUAAGAGAGAAAAGAGGGUAAUGUUAUUUUGUGACUUUGUAUAUAAAGUAGUAAUUUUUUGAUUGAAAAUUGUGAAUUUAAUUUUUGUAUAUGUUAU